UCUUUCUCUCUCUCUCUCUAACUUCAUUCCAUGGUUCUCCGUCAUCUUUAUCUUCUUGCAUCAGAUUGAACUUCACCUAUUCUGAUGUUUUUUGCUUUUUAUUUUGUAUAUUGCAUCUCAUUUUUAUCGAUUCCUGAUUUGGUGGUCAAGCUGAUGGGAAAAAAGCGCAUGAAAUUGAUGGAGGGUUCACGAAGUUUGCGUUAAGGCUAAUGUUUCUCUCCUUUCAAGAACUUUGAUAUCAUCGGUUUAAUGGGUUGGCCUCCAUCUUCUUCUAUCCAUUGAAAAACCGGCAAAUUCUUCUGGGUUGAGGGAUUGUGGUGAAUGUGACGAUAGGUUUUGUAUGCUCCGAUGGGGUAAACCGUAGGUAUGUUGCCUCAAUCUAUGAAAUUGAGGCAUGUGAUUAUCAAUACUUUACUUGUGAAGUUGUAUUUUACGGAUUAUUGUGGAUUUUAUUUGAAUUUGAAAAUUGAGUAAGAAAGCUUCAUAA